UGGGGAAUCAUGGUCAAUGGGCGAAAGCCUGAACCUGCGACGCCGCGUGAGUGACGAAGGUCGCAAGAUCGUAAAACUCUUUUCAGGGAUCUUAAAGCCUGUCUGUCAACAACAGGCAGGUCUGACUCUCCCUGGAAGAAGCCCCAGCCAACUACGCGCCAGCAGCUGCGGUAAUACGUAGGGGGCGAGCGUUAUUCGGAAUUACUGGGUGUAAAGGGUAUGUAGGCGGCCCUUCAAGUCGCGUGUCAAAGUCCAGUGCUCAACGCUGGGUGUGCACGCGAUACUGACGGGCUUGAGGGCUGGAGAGGUGAGCGGAAUUCCUGGUGUAGUGGUAAAAUACGUAGAGAUCGGGAGGAACACCAGCGGCGCAGGCGGCUCACUAGACAGUUUCUGACGCUAAGAUACGAAAGCGUGGGGAGCAAACA
rnacentral:rRNA from 1 species